rnacentral:misc_RNA from 1 species
GAUGAAGAACGUAGCGAAAUGCGAUAAGUAAUGUGAAUUGCAGAAUUCAGUGAAUCAUCGAAUCUUUGAACGCACCUUGCGCUCCUUGGUAUUCCGAGGAGCAUGCCUGUUUGAGUGUCAUGAAACCCUCAAACCCAAGUUUUGGAUUUCGAUCCAUGCUUGAGUUUGGAUUUGGAUGUUUGCCGGUGAUGAACCGACUCAUCUUAAAAGUAUUAGCUUGGAUCUGUCUAUAUGACUGGUUUGACUUGGCAUAAUAAGUAUUUUGCUGAAGACAUCUUCGGAUGGCCAGGACCUAGACUACUGUCUGCUAACUAAACCAUCACUUUAAGUGCAUCUUUGGAUGUUACUCAUUGUGUAACUUUGACAUCUGGCCUCAAAUCAAGUAGGACUACCCGCUGAACUUAAGCAUAUCAAUAAGCGGAGGA